GAUGAACGCUGGCGGCGUGCCUAAUACAUGCAAGUCGAGCGAACAGACGAGGAGCUUGCUCCUUUUACGUUAGCGGCGGACGGGUGAGUAACACGUAGGUAACCUACCUAUAAGACUGGGAUAACUUCGGGAAACCGGAGCUAAUACCGGAUAAUAUUUCGAACCGCAUGGUUCGAUAGUGAAAGAUGGCUUUGCUAUCACUUAUAGAUGUACCUGCGCCGUAUUAGCUAGUUGGUAAGGUAACGGCUUACCAAGGCAACGAUACGUAGCCGACCUGAGAGGGUGAUCGGCCACACUGGAACUGAGACACGGUCCAGACUCCUACGGGAGGCAGCAGUAGGGAAUCUUCCGCAAUGGGCGAAAGCCUGACGGAGCAACGCCGCGUGAGUGAUGAAGGUCUUCGGAUCGUAAAACUCUGUUAUUAGGGAAGAACAAACGUGUAAGUAACUGUGCACGUCUUGACGGUACCUAAUCAGAAAGCCACGGCUAACUACGUG
rnacentral:rRNA from 1 species